UACGAAGGGGGCUAGCGUUGCUCGGAAUUACUGGGCGUAAAGCGUGCGUAGGUGGUUUGUUAAGUCUGAUGUGAAAGCCCUGGGCUCAACCUGGGAAUUGCAUUGGAUACUGGCAGGCUAGAGUGCGGUAGAGGGUAGUGGAAUUCCCGGUGUAGCAGUGAAAUGCGUAGAGAUCGGGAGGAACACCAGUGGCGAAGGCGACUACCUGGACCAGCACUGACACUGAGGCACGAAAGCGUGGGGAGCAAACAGG
rnacentral:rRNA from 1 species